rnacentral:rRNA from 1 species
CCUACGGGUGGCUGCAGUAGGGAAUAUUGCUCAAUGGGGGAAACCCUGAAGCAGCAACGCCGCGUGGAGGAUGAAGGUUUUAGGAUUGUAAACCCCUUUUGUUAGAGAAGAUUAUGAGGGUAUGUAACGAUUAAGCACUGGCUAACACCGUGCCAGCAGCCGCGGUAAUACGGAGGGUGCAAGCGUUAGUCGGAAUCACUGGGCGUAAAGUGUGCGUAGGCGGGGUAAUAAGUCAGAUGUGAAAUCCUGUGGCUUAACUACAGAACUGCAUUUGAAACUGUUACUCUGGAGUGUGGGAGAGGUAGGUGGAAUUCCUGGUGUAGGGGUAAAAUCCGUAGAGAUAAAGAGGAAUACUCAUGGCGAAGGCGACCUGCUGGAACAUUACUGACGCUGAUGUACGAAAGCGUGGGGAGCAAACAGGAUUAGAUACCCGGGUAGUC